UUUAAACAUUCACAGUUAGAAACAUCUCUGGCAGCCGGCAGCAGCAGCACACCUACUGAUGCCGCAGCGGGCGCCGGUCGUGGAGGGGUCCGCUGUGUUUCCACCGUGUGGCGGGCGGCGCUGAAGGGAGAGCCGUGACAUUGAGAGGGCUGUCAGGUAGAAGAUCCUGGAAUUGAGAGACUCCACCUGCAGGUCGGCUGGUGGAGAGGAUGAUGACAGUGUAAAGCAAAGACAGACACAUCGCAGAAAAGGGGACAGAGGCUUGAGAAGCAGUGGGUGGUGGAUGAGGACAAUGAGGGUUCUGGAUUGGUCAGUAGGGACCCACCUAUCACACCUGCAGUGGAUAAACAAGAGGAUUACCUUCUCUUUUUAUCUGCCCAAGUUGAUCCUCCCACGAGGGGAUGAAGCAGCCACUCACCUCUCUGUUGAAUGUCCACGGAGGAUACUUUGAUUACAAAGACUGGCCAUUUAUAAUAUGAGUCUGUGCGUGUGGGUUAUCUGCUGAAUGCCACAAGAACCACACAUCAAGGCAUAGCAUGAGAGAUGGAUGGAGUUGAUGGGCUAAUAGUCCAAUAAAACCAAGUUUACUUCCUGUCAGCUUCUCUCUUUAGCAAUGUGCAAUAUUGAAUUAGCUUGGACCACUAAAGAAUGUUUGUAUUAAACUAUGAAAUGGUCUCAAUCUCCUUAUUCACCUUCCUUCAAUGUUUCUCCUCCCUCUCCCUCUCUCAGCAGCAAAAUGACAGCAACCCAAGUCGCAAACAGAACCUGUCCCGUUGGCUGUCGGAGUACGGCCCUGGCGAGUUAAACUGGCAUAUGCCGUUCCACUCGACGCCGCUGGAUGCACAAAAACAGAAAAACAAACCUUAACAAAACAACCUCACAACAGUUCCUCAUAGCAGCAUGAUGCAUACAAAGAGAAAUAUAAAAACUAAUUUUGGCAGCAUAGUAGGGACAAUUGCUGAUGUCACCACCCGUGGCUCCGUGGACAGGCAAGCCAGUAUCUAAAACCUCCUCCUGGAUGGCUCCCUGUGUGAACAGUCAGGCGGCGGCUCGCACAGAAUUUGCGUUUCUGCCUCAGGUGUGUGUCCCUGACGUACACGCUGCGGUGAUAGACUGCGGUUAGAGUCAAAGAUGAAUAAAAAAAAGAUGAAAUUAUCAGGUGCACAAUUCAGAAAGCACCGCAAAGUAGAGGAGGAGAAGAAAGAACAAUAUAGAGGUAUCACCCCGAUUGUGGACAUCAUUAAUGUUUAUUUGUGUCGACAUGACAUGAUAUAUCAGUAAGGCUUAAAUCAGAAUCUUUUUAUAAUUUUUAUUAUAUAUUUUUAUUGUUUUUUAUAGUUUACAAUUUUGUCUGCCCGUGUGUGCAUCUCUAUACAGUCCAAAAGCUCUUGGGGAUGCAUGACAGUUUGCGUGUGUAUGUUUGGGGGUGGCAAUUUGUUAUCUCACCUAGGGUGCCAACAUUCCCAGGGCCAGCCAUGGUCUACCGUUAUGUUUUAAAACAAUUACUUGUAAGUUUUUCCUUACAAGAACAAUAACCAUGGGUCCUAAUCAAUCAAUCAAUCAAUCAAUGUUUAUUUGUAUAGCCCAUACAAAUCACAAUUUGUCUCAUUGGGAUUUAACAAGGUAUUACAUUAUAUCUGUACAGGAGAAAAGUGUCUAAAUUCCACAGAUGCUCCUUUCUCCUUCUUAACAGUACCAAAGGUCAGGUUAUAGAUAAAGGAGCAACCAACAGUUCAUUGUAGCGUCUAUGCUUAGGGACUUUCAUAUCUAACUCAAAUACUCCAGACAGAGGGGAAACAGCAUGAUCAAGGUUACAUUGUAUGAGAUUUGAUCAUGAUCAAUCAGAGGGGAAAUAAACAUGAUGAUAUUGUGGUCAAAUGUUAUAUUUCCCUUACAGUUUGUAUGUUGUUUCACCUUCAGGUCUCCUUGAUGCAUCAAGUCUCCAUUAAAACCUUCUGCAUAAGA